rnacentral:rRNA from 1 species
GACGAACGCUGGCGGCGUGCUUAACACAUGCAAGUCGAACGGAAAGGCCCUGCUUUUGUGGGGUGCUCGAGUGGCGAACGGGUGAGUAACACGUGAGUAACCUGCCCUUGACUUUGGGAUAACUUCAGGAAACUGGGGCUAAUACCGGAUAGGAGCUCCUGCCGCAUGGUGGGGGUUGGAAAGUUUCGGCGGUUGGGGAUGGACUCGCGGCUUAUCAGCUUGUUGGUGGGGUAGUGGCUUACCAAGGCUUUGACGGGUAGCCGGCCUGAGAGGGUGACCGGCCACAUUGGGACUGAGAUACGGCCCAGACUCCUACGGGAGGCAGCAGUGGGGAAUAUUGCACAAUGGGCGGAAGCCUGAUGCAGCAACGCCGCGUGCGGGAUGACGGCCUUCGGGUUGUAAACCGCUUUCGCCUGUGACGAAGCGUGAGUGACGGUAAUGGGUAAAGAAGCACCGGCUAACUACGU